GCGCCGGUGGUGUAAGGCGAACAUCGCUGCCCGGAAAGCAGAAGAUGCGGGUUCGAGUCCUGCCUGGCGCA
rfam:Heligmosomoides polygyrus genome assembly, scaffold: HPBE_scaffold0008122